rnacentral:tRNA from 1 species
GCCCGCGUGGCGGAAUUGGCAGACGCGCUAGAUUCAGGUUCUAGUCCUGGCAACAGGGUACAAGUUCAAGUCUUGUCGCGGGCACCA